UACGAGGGGGUCCAAGCGUUGUUCGGAAUUAUGGUGCGUAAAGGGUGCGUAGGUGGCAGGGUAAGUUUGAUGUGAAAUCUCCGAGCUCAACUCGGAAACUGCAUUGAAUACUAUCCUGCUUGAGGAUUGGAGGGGAGACUGGAAUUCUCGGUGUAGCAGUGAAAUGCGUAGAUAUCGAGAGGAACACCAGUGGCGAAGGCGGCUCACUGGACCGGUUCUGACGCUGAUGCGCGAAAGCGUGGGUAGCAAACAGG
rnacentral:rRNA from 1 species